rnacentral:rRNA from 1 species
AAAAACACGGUUCGUAGGUGAACCUGCGGAAGGAUCAUUAUCGUAGGGCUUCGGCCCUGUCGAGAUAGAACCCUUGCCUUUUUGAGUACCUUUCGUUUCCUCGGCAGGCUCGCCUGCCAAUGGGGACCACAAAAAACACUUUGCAGUACCUGUAACAGUCUGAACAAACAAAACAAAAAUCAAAACUUUCAACAACGGAUCUCUUGGUUCUGGCAUCGAUGAAGAACGCAGCGAAAUGCGAUAAGUAGUGUGAAUUGCAGAAUUCAGUGAAUCAUCGAAUCUUUGAACGCACAUUGCGCCCUUUGGUAUUCCUUAGGGCAUGCCUGUUCGAGCGUCAUUUAAACCUUCAAGCUAAGCUUGGUGUUGGGUGACUGUCCGCUUCACUGCGGACUCGCCUCAAAAUUAUUGGCGGCCGGUACAUUGGCUUCGAGCGCAGCAGAAACGCGAACUCGGGCCCGUCGUAUUGGCUCCCAGAAGCUAUCUUCACAAUUUUGACCUCGGAUCAGGUAGGGAUACCCGCUGAACUUAAGCAUAUCAUAACCGCGGAGGAAA